GACGAACGCUGGCGGCGUGCUUAACACAUGCAAGUCGAACGGACAGGCCCUGCUUUUGUUGGUUUCUCGAUUGGCGAACGGGUGAGUAACACGUGAGUAACCUGCCCUUGUCUUUGUGAUAACUUCAGGAAACUGGGGCUAAUACCGGAUAGGAUCUCCUGCUGCAUGGUGGUGGUUGGAAAGUUUCGGCGUUUGUGGAUGGAUUGGCGGCUUAUGAGCUUGUUUGUGGGGUAGUGGCGUACCAAGGCUUCGACGGGUAGCCGGCCUGAGAGGGUUAACGGGCUCAAGAGGACUGCGAGACGGAGCAGAAUGGAACGGGCGGCAGUAGGCGGGAAUCUUGCACAAUGACGGGGAGCGUGAGGCAGAGACGUUGGGAGCGGGAUGACGGCCUAUGGGGGGUAAACAAAUUUCGAAGGAGACAAAGAGGGAGUGACGGUAAUGGGUCAAGAAGCAACGGCUAACUACGUG
rnacentral:rRNA from 1 species